UCAAAACAAAUUGGCUCCUGCUACUGUUUGUCAUCCAACAAACCAAGUGGGUUUUUUCUACUUGUUGACAAAUUUCACCCCAACAAGUUGUGUUGCUGGACGUACCCUUCGCCCCUCUCGUCUUCGUAUUCAAGUAAGAGAAAAAAGAUAAUUAUUGAUAAUUUUGUCUUCUAGGGCUUUCUCCGAUUUGAGUGGUGAAAUUUGGAGUCUAUGAUUAAUGGGCCCAGAAAUGUUAUAGGGUUUAUUUAAAUUUCGAGUUGUUGAAAGUAUAUAUAACCCCAAUAGUUUUAAGGGUAAUCUUGAUGCUUUCAUCUGCUAAAGAGGAAUGAUCCCGGGCAGUUUCCAUUUGUUUGGUAAAGACACAAGAUUAUUGUUUGUGCCCCAUGGUUGGUCUCUAUGGCAGCCAAUGCCUCAAUUUCUCUUUUCCUUUGGCUCAUUUGCCCACUGAGUUGGAUUGUUUGAUCACUAUGGCUUGCGUGGAUUUGUGGCCAUGGAGGAUCUAUUAGAGAUAUAUGAGAAGUGAGAACGCUCCAUGAAUUAGCCACUAAGGUACCCCUAUUAACCUCCCCACUGCGUAUUUGUUCUGCGUAGCGUUUUUUGAUGUAUUAAUAUAUUGCCAUGUAACGUUAUUUGCGUAACUGCAUCUAUAUAUUCUUGUUUACGUACACAUGAUAUACAUAAACAAUUGACUUCUUCUUACAUAUGGCUCUUAUCUUCUAUAACCUAGGUGCACAAUGUUAUACAACAGCCACCCAUUUAAUGCUGAAGGAGGUCUAAAAUUUAGUGUUAAGUUGAGAUAGUUGCAGAUUACUUAGAGGAACUUUCAUUAUGGGGAAAUUAUAUUUUAGCUUCUAUGUUCCUGUUUUUCUUAGUUUGCUCCCAAGAAAUGAUUGUACUCCAUGAUUUAUUUUUAAUGGAGAAGCAAGAAAGAACUCCCAAGCUUUUGUAGUAAAUCUCUUGCUGUAUUGUAAGCAAAGUGGACUCUUGUAUGCUUGAAGCUUUGAACAGCAUUGCGAUAGAUGAGAGUUUGCAUAUCUUUUUGAAGCUCGGAUUUUUAUGAUUAAGACUGGUAUCUCUCUCUGUUUGGGUACUUCUGCAAAACUUUUUGAUUUUCAAGUGUUGAACCAUUUAACAUAAGUAUAGUUCUCCUAAUGUGAAGAAUUAAUUUUGCAUUGAGCUACCAGGCUUAAAAUUUGCACCUAUUUUUUUGAUCUGGUGGAAGAAUCAGCACUCAAAGUCUUGUGUCCAAGGUUAGUCAGGCUUAGCUUCAUGUCUUAUUGAAACUCUAAGCUUUUUUUUCCAUUACGAUUUCUGUUUAAAACACAGUAGUAUCUAAGCCACGGAAACUAAGGUAAAACACAGUUAGGCUACUAAUUUGGCAAACAGAACCACGUUCGAAGAAUACUUCAUGUACAUCAUCUGAUUCAGUAGGGAGAAUCUGGUCUUCUCAAUCGGGGUGCUUCUAUCGAUUGCAGGUUUUGAUUCCCAAUCGCCUUUCUUUCCCUUGUUCUUUCAGUGUCUUCUCUACCAUAUAUUUUGCUGGUUCUUGCUCGUUCAUACAACAAAUUAUACUUUUGAUAGCUUUGAGUUAUGAGUGGUUUAGUGGAGAUUCCUAUGAAUGCUCUACUAUUAUUAUACCUAGCUAUUAUCCCUUUUCAAGACUAGUGGUUUCAAGGAAUGAGAAAGAAGCAGAUCGGCAUACUCUAAGCCGUGAGGGAAUCAAGAAGAUUGCAUCAAUUCCACGUGCUUGGCUUUGGGAGGAAAGAGAGACCAAAUUGCUCGAAGAUUGCAUCAAUUUCAACAAGCUUGCAGCGUUGGAAAUUUUCAAGUAAUAUGUUGGUUAGUUUGUUUAUGGCUACCUUUGGUAACAUUGGACACCUGAGUACUAUAUGAAUUCAUUGUAAUUCUUGCAACCCUUUCAUGUAAUUUGUGUUUUCGAGUUGUUUCGAAAGCUAGUGUAAUGAAUACUUGCUCGAUUGAAUGAAUUUAGUUAAUUACAUUGGCAA